rnacentral:tRNA from 1 species
GGGGUCGUAGCUCAGCUGGCAGAGCGCGUCGUUCGCAACGACGAGGUCGUCGGUUCGAAUCCGAUCGGCUCCACCA